CCGCACCUACGGAACGCAGUCGGUCCUGCCGCCUCACGGGGCCCGGGCCGCCGCUGGGUUCGGGCGGGGGGCGAGGGCUGAGGCAGCCCCCGCCUGCGACGCGGCUGGAGUGAGGCGGAGAGGAGGAGCCUCCAGCAGCAGCAAAUGAGCGAGGGCUGUCAGGUUUAUAAAUCUGCUUUUCCUCCCACCGCCCCCGAGCCCCGCUGACUCCGGCGGGAGCGAUCGCCUGCCCGCUGGCUGCGGCUCCGCCAGCAUCAUUUAUUUCUCCAGCGAAACAGAAGAAUGCACUCAGUCACACUUCUCAGCAACUCUGUAGCCUGUGGAGCGUGUGGGCAGUCUCUGUAUGCAGCAUCCUGGAAAAUGUGUGUUCUCUUGAAGUGAUCUGCUGAAAAGCACGUGCUUGUACAGUUGUUCCAGCCUCCCUUGUUGCACUGCUCUCAAGGUCUGAAAUGCCUUGUCUCUAAUACUCCCUGGGAUCUGCAUUUCGUCUGCCAAAGAAACGCUACCUGCUGCAGUUACCCAGUGAACCCCGAAGAGCAAGGACACUGAAGAUGGCCCUGUGUGCUUAUUAUGCAGUUUGGGGUUUGUUGCUAGAAGUGGCAGUAGCAUUUGGCCCAGUACCAAGGAUCACUUGGGAACACAAAGAGGUCCAGCUAAUACAUUUUAAUGAAUCAAAAGUGUCAAACUAUUCAACCUUGCUGUUAAGUGAAGACAAAAAUGUUCUAUAUGUAGGAGCCAGGGAAGUGAUCUUUGCCUUAAACGCAGUGAAUAUUGCUGAGAAGCAGCACGAGUUACACUGGAAGGUCACAGAAGAUAAAAGGACUAAAUGUGCAGUCAAGGGCAAAUCAGAACAGACAGAGUGUCGUAAUUAUGUGCGCGUCUUGCAACAGCUGAAUGAUACUUUUCUCUACGUGUGUGGAACUAAUGCAUUUCAGCCAACAUGUGAUUACCUGAAUUUAAUUUCAUUUGAACUUGGAGGUAAAAAUGAGGAUGGUAAGGGCAGAUGUCCAUUUGAUCCUGCUCAAAGCUACACAUCUGUUAUGGUUGAUGAGGAGCUUUAUUCUGGGACUUCUUACAAUUUCUUGGGAAGUGAACCUAUUAUUUCACGGCACUCUCAUCAGAGCCCUCUGAGAACGGAGUAUGCAAUUCCUUGGCUUAAUGAGCCCAACUUUGUUUUUGCUGAUGUGAUAAGAGCAGAUCCAAACAGCACAGAUGGAGAAGACGACAAGAUAUACUUCUUUUUCACUGAGGUGUCUGUGGAGUAUGAAUUUGUUGGAAAAUUGAUGAUACCAAGAAUAGCUAGAGUAUGCAAGAGGGACCAAGGAGGAUUAAGGACCUUGCAGAAAAAAUGGACUUCCUUUCUCAAGGCCAGACUGAUUUGUACCAUCCCUGAUAAGAAUUUAAUUUUCAAUGUUAUCAAUGAUGUUUUUAUUCUCAAAUCUCCAACUUUGAAGGAACCAGUGAUAUAUGGAGUCUUCACCCCACAGCUGAAUAAUGUGGGGUUGUCAGCAGUGUGUGCGUACAAUCUGUCUACUGUAGAAGAGGUUUUCUCAAAAGGAAAAUACAUGCAGAGUGCUACAGUAGAACAGUCUCACACAAAGUGGGUACGAUACAAUGGGGAAAUUCCUAAUCCUCGACCUGGUGCGUGUAUAAACAAUGAAGCCAGAGCAUCAAACUACAUGAGUUCUCUGAAUUUACCAGACAAAACAUUGCAGUUUGUUAAAGAUCAUCCUCUGAUGGAUGACUCAGUGACCCCAAUGGGAGACAGACCUCGGCUAGUAAAGCGAGAUGUGAAGUACACACAGAUUGUAGUUGACAGAGUCAGAGUACUCAAUGGCACCAUCUAUGAUGUUAUGUUCAUUGGUACAGAUCGAGGAGCCCUGCACAAAGCUAUCAGCUAUGAAAAUGGAAUGCAUAUUAUUGAAGAAACACAGCUUUUUCCAAAUUUUGAACCAGUCCAAACUCUCGUGCUUUCAUCCAAAACAGUAAGUGGUGGCAGAAGAUACCUCUUUGCUGGUUCAAAUUCUGGUGUGGUGCAGUCUCCAGUGGCAUUCUGUGACAAGUACACCACUUGUGUUGACUGUGUUUUAGCAAGGGAUCCUUACUGUGCUUGGAAACCCCUUGAAGCUUCCUGCAUUGAUAUUUUUAAAGAAGGUGAAAUGGAAAGGAGCUGGAUUCAAAACAUAGGUGGAGAUGCAUCUUCUUGUUCUGCCUCAUCUCCUAUACCUUUCCCUCCUACUGGUACCUCCUUUUUGUCCUGUGUGGGAAGUGAUUCACCUCCUUCACCCACCAGUACCCAGCCUGAUGUUUGGUCUAGCAAAGACCCCGUAAAGGUCAUGUUGUUGCCACCUUUCCUAAGUGACCAGGCACAGCAUGUUAGUAUCCGGGGACCCUUCCACCUCUUCUGCCAAGCCACAGUCCCUGGUUCUAGCUUACUGGUGCCUCAUCUGAUUUUUCUUCACAGACAAUUAUCUAUGUUCCAAUUGCAAAACCUUUUUCUGGACACCGUCAGAGAACAUCCGAAUAAAUGCAUGAACAGUUACCAAUUGCAUUUUCAUGUAAUGUGCCAGUCAGCCAUUUUCCCAACCUGCUUUUAAAUUCCACUCCAAGAAGACAGAGGCCGUGUCCUACUUGCACCCACAUGUGCUGUGCAUCACCUCUAGUGACUGGUUGCUGCUUCCAGCUUUUAGGUGGUUCACGUUUAGCAGGAAGCGCUUCCUGCUUUUCAUCUGCCUUCGUAAGGCUGCAUCAGCUUGUGGUGAUGUCACACACAGGGACCGGUAAUUUAAUGAAGCACCACGUGUCUGAAGGAGGAGGACAUCAUGCAUCCUUCAGUAUGAAAUAUGUGGUGUUGGAAGUAAUAUUCUGUGGCAUUUCAGAGCGGUCUAUUUUCUUGGCUUUUUAAAGGGACUUUUUUCCAUUGCUGUCAAGCUUGUCUUCUAGAAUGCAUUGCCCUACUUUAACAAUCAAAAACAAACACCAGUCAACAAAACUACAAAAAAAAUGCACCCCUGUUAUAGGGGGUACAGGCUAUUUAAUUUGCACAAUAUUUGAAGAAAACUGCAAAGAUGAUUGCCUCAAUUAAAGAUUUUUUUUCUUCACUUUUCCAGUCAGUUACCCACUGAUGGCUUCAUUUUGUACUGAUUUAUUAUUCUGGUAUGUUAUCAGCAGCAAUGACUCAGACUCCUACAACUCAAGAACUAUGACCAGCCCUAAAUCUUUCAUUCACAUACUAGGUAGUGCUGGUGGUAAUAUUUCAUAUUAAUGAUUGACUAACCUCUUCCUGGGCUAACUUUGAUGCCUGAUUUAAAAAAAACUUCCUGCAUCCAGAUUAUAGGGCCUUUUUAAAACUUAAUCCCUGCUCUGGAUGAGGGCUUCCUGUAUGAUCUUGGUUUUCAGAAAUCUGGGAUGUUUGCUUCAGUAGCAUUCAGGAAAGCUGCAAGCUUGAUAGCAAGCAUUAAAUCCAGAUGCCAUUCUUUUUCUUAGUCUGCUGCAUGUAGUGAGCUUUGAAAGAGGUUUUGGUGUGUAUUGGGUUAUACAAGGAAGUUUUUUCCUAAACCUGAACUUCCCAUCACUGUGGAUAGCCUCCGGUAGCAGUUCUUUGUCUAGAUUAUAGGCAUUUGUGUAAAAGAUUCUUUGUUACCCUGGUAGAAUUUCUCUGUGGGAUACCUGUCGGUUAUCUUCCCUGCAUUUCAAUUUGCUGGCAACUUGCAGAAAUUAUUAGCUGGGGUCUAGGUUUGCUGAUGGCUCCUGCUGUUGUAACAAGUCCCCUGUCUUUAUCUUGGAAGUGUUUCUGUGAAUAUAGGGAAGCCUUAUUAAAUGCUACCCUUCAAGAACUGGGUUAGAAAUGAGGGAGACCUUAUGCUGAACCACCAGCAGUGGUAGCACUGCUCAGGGUUCACAGUGCAGCUUCACUGGGCUGCUUUUGAAAUCUCCACAGCUCUCUGCACAUUGCAGCACUUGGCACAAGGAGCCAGCGUGGCCAGUGCUCCCUCUUGGUCCUCCUGCCUUAUGUCACUGAGCUCAACUUAAUCCAUAAUCUGCUCCUUUUAAAUUAGUGUCUCCAAGCUGUCUUGAAACCCGUAUGUCUACUAGGAUGUGAUGUGUAUAUGGCAAAUGCUUAAUUUGAUCCAGCUGAGCAGGGCACAUCCCCAUGCUGCUCUGACUCUGUAGCUGUAUACUUCAGUUGCUUCAAGUCUGCUUUUUUUUUUACUUACUUUUUUAACCUUAGGUCAAAUUUACAUGAAUAACCCAGUGAAUGCAGUCAGACUGUGGGUAGAAGAUUACAAGCAGCUGCGGUGGUUUGAGUUUCUAUGCUACCUAUGACAGCUGAAUUUUUUUCUCAUGGAAAAUACUGAGAAAAAAAUCAUCUGGGUAUUAAAUAUGUCAUUUGUGUAAACCAGCCUGAUUUCACAUAGGUCAGAGAACCCAUUCUGCUGGCAGAAACUACCUGGACAGUACCUGGGCCAUUACUACCUGCGUGUUAUAAUUUCAUUCGAACUGCUGAAAGCAGAGGAAAUGAAGUCUAUGUGGGAAAGAAGCAAACACUUCCACAGACACUGGAAAUUUUGAGGGGUUUAUGCAAAGAAAAGGGGUAGUUCAGAUAAUGCCACAAAGUUUCUUAUAUUUUUGUUUGAUAUCUGUUAAUUCCCCUUCUAGAAUCACCAAGGUGGUGAAGUUGGUUUUAUUUCAUCACGUGUAAUUAAUGUAGUUUAUUGAAGCAAUGUUUUUGAUGUUAACUGUUUGAAAUAUAAUUAAUGACUUCUCAGACAUAGCUACUUAUAUACCUGGCCUGUUGUGCUGUUUAGUUCUCUAUUGGAUUAUUAUGUUUUAAUAAGAUUACUUUUUUUAAAUCUUUCAAGCAUUCCUAACAUGGAUGGCAAAGUCCGGAUGACUCCUACUUUGUCUGGAAGAAGAAUGGACAAAAGAUGAAGGCGUGCAUCACAGAGCAAUCUCACAUGCUGCUU